UACGGGGGGGGCAAGCGUUGUUCGGAAUUACUGGGCGUAAAGGGUUUGUAGGUGGCUUGCUAAGUCAGACGUGAAAUCCCUCAGCUUAACUGGGGAACUGCGUCUGAUACUGGCGAGCUUGAGUGCAGGAGAGGAACGCGGAAUUCCAGGUGUAGCGGUGAAAUGCGUAGAUAUCUGGAGGAACACCGGUGGCGAAGGCGGUGUUCUGGACUGCAACUGACACUGAAAAACGAAAGCCAGGGGAGCAAACGGG
rnacentral:rRNA from 1 species